CAGUCGCCGCGGGAAUACGUAGGGACCAAGCGUUGUUCGGAUUUACUGGGCGUAAAGGGCGCGUAGGCGGCAAUUCAAGUCAUCUGUGAAAUCUCCGGGCUUAACUCGGAACGGUCAGAUGAUACUGCUUUGCUAGAGUACAGAAGGGGCAAUCGGAAUUCUUGGUGUAGCGGUGAAAUGCGUAGAUAUCAAGAGGAACACCUGAGGUGAAGACGGGUUGCUGGGCUGAUACUGACGCUGAGGCGCGAAAGCUAGGGUAGCAAACGGGAUUAGAUACCCGUGUAGUCCCUGUCUCUUAUAC
rnacentral:rRNA from 1 species